rnacentral:lncRNA from 1 species
UUUGGCAUCUCCGUAUUGGCAGAGAGCAGAUCGAAGAUAGUAGAUUUGGCGUCUCUGUAUUGGCGGAGAGCAGAUCGAAGGUAGCAGAUUUGGCGUCUCUGUAUUAGCGGAGAGCAGAUCGAAGAUAGCAGAUUUGGCGUCUCUGUAUUGGCGGAGAGCAGAUCGAAGAUAGUAGAUUUGGCAUCUCUGUAUUGGCGGAGAGCAGAUCGAAAAUAGCAGAUUUGGCGUCUCUGUAUUGGCAGAGAGCAGAUCAA